GACGCCAUUGCAGGUAACGGCCCGCAGUGAUGCCGAGGCAUCCUUGUGAGGCGCGGCUCGCAGUGGCGUCGCGACAUCCCUGUGGGGUGCGGUCUGCAAUGGCGGCCAAGGCCGCCCCUAUGGAAAAUUGCCUGUAGUGGCGCCUCUAUGGGCUUGGGCCGCCGAGGGGCUCCUGCGUGGAGCUUCGGCUCCACGGGACCCUCAGGAAAUAGCUAAAUAGUGACAGCAUGUAACAGAUACACAUUCACUUCCUUUUUUUAAUACAAAAUGUGAUCUAGUUAUCAUGUAUACAAUAUUCAUUUAGCUAGAUUAAAUAAGUUAUAUUAUGCAGUAUUAACAACCUUAUGACUGUCAGUUGUAAUAGUUUGAAAAACAUAUCAACCAGUUCAUUUCUUCCUUUAAAAAUAGUCAUAAAUCUAUUUGCAGA